UACAGAGGUCCCAAGCGUUGUUCGGAUUCACUGGGCGUAAAGGGUGCGUAGGCGGUUUGGUAAGUCUGAUGUGAAAUCUAUGGGCUCAACUCAUAGUCUGCAUUAGAAACUGCCGGGCUUGAGUAUGGGAGAGGUGAGUGGAAUUCCUGGUGUAGCGGUGAAAUGCGUAGAUAUCAGGAGGAACACCUGUGGCGAAAGCGGCUCACUGGACCAUAACUGACGCUGAUGCACGAAAGCUAGGGGAGCAAACAGG
rnacentral:rRNA from 1 species